rnacentral:lncRNA from 12 species
AAGCCAAAUAGAGUUGAUUUUAUUACAUCAUGUUUUCUUUGAAAAAGGAGAGGUUAGGAAAUGAGGCGCCCUGUGACCAUCCUGGAUUUUUCCGAGCCGAGACAACAGAAGACCCCAGAGAUUGGAAAACGAGCUGUCCAGUACGUGCCUGGUCCCAUCCUGGUAGGGGUAAGGCACAUCUAGUGCCCAGAGCAGAAUGUUGGCAGCCACAGUGUACCGGCAGUUCUGAGGGGCCGCCCUUUUGGGCCUUCCAAGGACCCACCCAGCGAGGACUCUAAAGCGCAGAAGGCGGCGCUGCAGAAAACAAAAACGUGGACUCUCCAGGAGGCGCAGUCACAAAACGCUAGUCCCAACCCGAUUCCUCCAGUUCCUGAGAGACCGUCAGCUCCGGCCCCGCAGCCACUGCGCCCUCCUGUCCCCAUAGUCUUCUGGCUCCAGCAGGACCACAUGUCCUCCUCACCUGAUGGCCUGAAGACAAAAGAAAGCCGAACUUCGGACCCACGCGGCUCCACACACAGGACGAGGUUAGCCUUCCCACCUGGGACCCUGCGGUGAUAAGCUGUGGGUCAGGCCACGCCCCAGCCAUCUAUGAUUGGCUGAUGGAUCCCAGGCCCGCCCCUUCGCCCCUACCCCCUGCUUUGUCUUGUAGGCUUGAGCCCUUGGUCUCACUUCUACUCAAGACCUCUCCCCUGCCUCAGUAUCUUGAUGAUGUCAUAACAGAGCCGCCUACAUAGACCCUGGUCUCUCCCAUUAUUCUUGUGCUGAGGAUCCACUUCCCUUCUUCCCAAGUUUUCUCACUUCUCCAAGGUAACUGGGACCUCUAAAUAAGCAAACACUUCUUUCCCAGUUAGCUUCCAACAUGUGGAACUGACUUUUUAUAGCCAGAGAGCCUAAGUACGCUGUGAUAACCACACAAUGGUUUGGAAGCAACGCUCAGUGGCAUCUGUUCUAAUCCUUGACCAGGUCAUGGAGGAGGGGAGCUCAUUGAGAGGGUGGGCAGUUCAGAGUCAUUCACCCUCAUAGUUGAGCAUUUCUGUGACAGUGGUGCUCUCCUUUAUAAAAGUCACAUUUGGGAGCACCUGGGUGUCCCAGUCUGAUAAGCAUCUAAUUUGGUUCAGGUCUUGAUCGUAGGUUCCUGUAAUGGAGCCUCUCAUGGGGCUCCCUACUCAGCGAGGAGUCUGCUGCUCCCUCUGCCUCUGCCCUGUUCGCUCUCUCUCUCUCUCUCUCCCUCCCAAGUAAAUAAAUAAAAUCUUUUAAAAAUAAAAUAAAAAAAU